GACGAACGCUGCCGGCGUGCUUAAUACAUGCAAGUAGGACGCACAGUUUAUACCGUAGCUUGCUACACCAUAGACUGUGAGUUGCGAACGGGUGAGUAACGCGUAGGUAACCUGCCUAUUAGAGGGGGAUAACUAUUGGAAACGAUAGCUAAUACCGCAUAACCAGUAUGUAACACAUGUUAGAUGCUUGAAAGAUGCAAUUGCAUCGCUAGUAGAUGGACCUGCGUUGUAUUAGCUAGUAGGUAGGGUAAAGGCCUACCUAGGCAACGAUACAUAGCCGACCUGAGAGGGUGAUCGGCCACACUGGGACUGAGACACGGCCCAGACUCCUACGGGAGGCAGCAGUAGGGAAUCUUCGGCAAUGGGGGGAACCCUGACCGAGCAACGCCGCGUGAGUGAAGAAGGUUUUCGGAUCGUAAAGCUCUGUUGUUAAGGAAGAACGAGUGUGAGAAUGGAAAGUUCAUACUGUGACGGUACUUAACCAGAAAG
rnacentral:rRNA from 1 species